UAGCAUAUCAAUAAGCGGAGGAAAAGAAACCAACCGGGAUUGCCUCAGUAACGGCGAGUGAAGCGGCAAAAGCUCAAAUUUGAAAUCUGGCUCCUUCGGGGUCCGAGUUGUAAUUUGUAGAGGAUGCUUCGGGUGCGGCCCCCGUCUAAGUGCUCUGGAAUGGGCCAUCAGAGAGGGUGAGAAUCCCGUCUGGGGCGGGGUGUCCGCGUCCGUGUGAAGCUCCUUCGACGAGUCGAGUUGUUUGGGAAUGCAGCUCUAAAUGGGUGGUAAAUUUCAUCUAAAGCUAAAUAUUGGCCGGAGACCGAUAGCGCACAAGUAGAGUGAUCGAAAGAUGAAAAGCACUUUGAAAAGAGAGUUAAAAAGCACGUGAAAUUGUUGAAAGGGAAGCACUUACGACCAGACUCGCUCACGGGGUUCAGCCGGCUUUCGGGCCGGUGUACUUCCCCGGGAGCGGGCCAGCGUCGGUUUGGGCGGCCGGUUAAAGGCCCCUGGAAUGUAACACCCCUCGGGGUGUCUUAUAGCCAGGGGUGCCAUGCGGCCAGCCCAGACCGAGGAACGCGCUUCGGCACGGACGCUGGCAUAAUGGUCGUAAAUGACCCGUCUUGAAACACGGACCAAGGAGUCUAACAUCUACGCGAGUGUUCGGGUGGCAAACCCGUACGCGAAGUGAAAGCGAACGGAGGUGGGAGCCUCUUGAGGGGCGCACCAUCGACCGAUCCUGAUGUCUUCGGAUGGAUUUGAGUAUGAGCGUAGCUGUGGGGACCCGAAAGAUGGUGAACUAUGCCUGAAUAGGGUGAAGCCAGAGGAAACUCUGGUGGAGGCUCGCAGCGGUUCUGACGUGCAAAUCGAUCGUCAAAUUUGGGUAUAG
rnacentral:rRNA from 1 species